UUAUCUGGCUGGAAAAGUCUCUAACAAUUAUGACAUUCAGUUAGAGGUUGAAAUCAAACAUGCUGGCGCAAAGGAUUCAACUGUGGUCACCAAGAGUAAUUUCAAUCACUUAUAUUGGACAUUGACUCAACAGAUAGCACAUCAUACUAUUAAUGGUUGCAACUUAAGACCUGGCGAUCUCUUGGGAACUGGAACCAUUAGU